CCUUUCCCCUUCCUUCUCUCUCAUCUCUCUCACAACUCACAACUCACAACUCACCAGAUCUUUUCAUCAACCUUCUCUCUCUGGCGACUCAAGCACAUGCCAACGAUUAGGGUUUCGGUAAGAACCUCCACCAUCAUGACUCUGGCAGCGGCUGCUUGUGGUGUUUGAUGUGUAAAUUGUUGAUUUGAACUUAACGGCGGAGGAAAUGUGAAAAAUUAGGGUUCCGCUAGAGCCUCAGGCGACGACGACAUAAGCAACAACAAGCAAUUGACUCCGACGAUGAAGAAUACCAAGACAAUACGUCCACAAACAACCCCUGUCUGGUGAGAUUCGGACUUUUAAAAUGUCUUCUCAAGAUUAAUUGUUUGUUAUUAGGUUUUGGAGCAUUUGAGUGUUAAAUCCCCUGUUUUUUUCCAAGGUUUUGAUUCGGUAUUCAAGAACAUAUUGAUCUGGGUAUCAAUAUCAUAUUGACUGGUGAUUAUGCAUCUACGGCUCCAUGAGUUGGCUUUGUCCAUUAGAGGGUGCGUCUUGCUAUGCCGAUCACUAUAGUUAUUUGUACUUCCAGCAUUGGUGAGUUCAAAAGGCGCCUUCAACAUGUUUAUGCCUUCCAUGGCCACAUCAGAAAAAAGAGGGCAAUCCAGCAACUUGUGUCGUUAUUCAACCAUGGUCUGGUGGAUGUCUAAAGAAGCUCCCAAAGUGGAAUUAUGAUCGGUCCAGCUCAUGGCAAGCCCGUCGGGAAGAAAGUGAAGUUAUUUUAUAAAUGUUUUUAGUAUAAUAUUCAAAUUUUAUCUUAACAACAUAUACUUGCAGUAUAAUAUUCAAAUUUUCUUUUUAAUUUAUUUAGCUGUGGAAAAUUGGGUAUGAAUGAGAAUGAAAAGGAAUACAAAUCUGGCCUUCACAUUGCUUCAAACGCCAGCUGUACCACCCAUUGCCUUACCCCUCUGGCCAAGCUACACAGAAGACUGCAAAUGCACCACCAGCCAAGGACCGGAGAGGUGGAAGGGUUGCAUUCAACAUCAUUCCCAACAGUACUUGUAGUGCUAAGGUGGCAAGACAGCUUGGUGUGCUAAUUGAGCCAGAAAACUUGCAAUUAAUGUCUCCUUUGUCAAGUGUAGGGGAAUUUUAUUGAUGUGGCAGGUGGGGGUUGGGUGUGUUACUCCCCCUGAGGUCAAGGGUUCGAGCUUUGUCGAAGGCAACUUUAGUGUAAUUUAAACCGGUCAAUAUAUAUUUAUGGCUUUGCUAAUUCAUGUAUAAUGCAUUAUGACUUUGACAAACAUUUGAUUA